GCCCUCGUAGCUCAGCGGCAGAGCAUCCCCUUGGUAAGGGGAAGGUCGGAGGUUCGAUUCCACCCGGGGGCUCCA
rnacentral:tRNA from 1 species